CGAAGCUUCGGACAUUUCCAGUUUCCCAAAUAAUUGGAAAGAUCUCCAGGAUUCUUUUUCGUAGCCUUUCUUUAGAAAGAGAUUUGAUGAUUUGAUUAUCACCAAUCUUAUUGCAAUAAGGAUGUCAUCCUUAUUUCCUUACUUUCUUUUACACGUUAAAAUGAAGUUAAACAUUGAUCGCUGCUGUUUCAAAAGAUUUAUCGAACAUACAGGCAAUGUUUCCGCACCAAUUUUCCAUCCUGGUUCAGCGGAGGCGAUAGUGAAGGAUUUGAGGAUCCAGAACUAUUCCAGAAAGGAGAACAUCGAAUUGGGAAACAUUAGGAGCAUUUAUCUAUGCACGUUUAUUAACCAAAAUAUUUACUAGAAUUACUGCCUGAUAUUUUGGAGUGAAUUUUUUUUAAAAAUUGAAAUAUUUCUUUUUAAAAAA